GUCACAGACAUUCAGAUCAUGGCAGAACUGUCACAGAUGUUACUUUGUGAAAACACAAAGAAUAAUGUGUUUGGAGAGAUCAGUCUUCAAUUAGCUAUAUUUUCUAGGAGCCUACCUUUACUUAGCCUCACAACAUGGGCCUUAGCUUUAGCACUUAAUCUGCACAAAUACCUGGCUUAAGUGUUAUGACUGACUGGCUAUUCAACCAAACCAUACAAAUGACCAAUUCGGUAAGAAAGCAUGAACUUCAGUGUUGAACCAAAUCAACCAACCUCCUCAAUCCAAAUGAACAAUGCUAUUCUAGGAGUCUGUGCUAGAAUAAAAUCCUAAUGCAAAGGCUGUCUUAAAAUGCUGAACCCAGAAGAAUUUGGCAUAAAUAAGACAUGGAGUUAGCUGACAUGAGAUAUUACAUUUAUUCCACUGUUGACGAGGACAAAACUGGGCCGCUAUUGUCACAGGAGAGGAUAACAAAGGAAGCUGAGGAAGUCUGUUCUGGAGGCACCAUGACAAAGCACCAGACAGAAAGCAGUCACGUGUGGGGAGAUGAGCAGAGACACCACUUCUCAAGCACCUGAUUAUUCUUUCUCAGUAUUUAGAAGCAAAAAUUAUCCUUAAGAAAAACAACCGCAAACGCAACACAGGCUACACAGAUGAGAAAAUGGGGCUUGCAGAGCUCAAACCAUUACACCAUUCAGAAGCUGGCUUUGGUAUUACUUCAAGUUAUUCAAAACAGUCACCACUUGCUGAGCCUCUGAUGUCUCAUCUGUUGAAUGGAUUUCAAGAGAGAAGGCUGAAAAGGAAGGUGACUGGAAUAUUAAGAACUGUGAGAUAUUCUGAGGAAACUCUAAUUUGUAAAUUGGUAGAAAUGCCAGUAAUUUGUUGGGAAUUGAAGACCCUCUGUAUUCAAGAGCGAAGCUUGGCAGCUGUGCACUGUUGUUUUAUAAAUCAAUAUUACAUCUGAAGGUGGUGUUUGAAUGUUUGUGUCAUUGGGGUUUGUCUCCAACAUAGUCCUGUGACAAGAAAUGUUCAAACAAAACAAACACAAUCCCUUCCCUGUCCUUUAGGAUAAAGUCCAAACGUAAUUCCACAACAGGGAUAUAACAUUCAAAUCAACUACAGAACUUCUGUAAUUAUAUAAAACCCCACGACCACAGAAAUGCAAUUGAAUUGAAGACACUUUGCAAUAUUCCCCAAGAAAGGACUGUGUGGCUGUCAGAUUAACAAAAGUCAAGAGGUGGUGAGACAAUGCUCACCAUUGCAAAAAAGAGCUUUGUGCAUAAU
rnacentral:lncRNA from 1 species